rnacentral:rRNA from 1 species
AUAGCGUAUAUUAAAGUUGUUGUGGUUAAAAAGCUCGUAGUUGAACCUUGGGCCUGGCUGGCCGGUCCGCCUCACCGCGUGUACUGGUCCGGCCGGGCCUUUCCCUCUGUGGAACCCCAUGCCCUUCACUGGGUGUGGCGGGGAAACAGGACUUUUACUUUGAAAAAAUUAGAGUGCUCCAGGCAGGCCUAUGCUCGAAUACAUUAGCAUGGAAUAAUAGAAUAGGACGCGUGGUUCUAUUUUGUUGGUUUCUAGGACCACCGUAAUGAUUAAUAGGGAUAGUCGGGGGCAUCAGUAUUCAAUCGUCAGAGGUGAAAUUCUUGGAUCGAUUGAAGACUAACAACUG